rnacentral:rRNA from 1 species
CCUACGGGAGGCAGCAGUGGGGAAUAUUGGACAAUGGGCGAAAGCCUGAUCCAGCCAUGCCGCGUGUGUGAAGAAGGCCUUUUGGUUGUAAAGCACUUUAAGCGAGGAGGAGGCUCCCUAGAUUAAUACUCUAGGUGAGUGGACGUUACUCGCAGAAUAAGCACCGGCUAACUCUGUGCCAGCAGCCGCGGUAAUA